GUGGCGAACGGGUGAGUAACACGUGAGCAAUCUGCCCCUGACUCUGGGAUAAGCGCUGGAAACGGUGUCUAAUACCGGAUACGAGCUGCGAAGGCAUCUUCAGCAGUUGGAAAGAAUUUCGGUCAGGGAUGAGCUCGCGGCCUAUCAGCUUGUUGGUGAGGUAACGGCUCACCAAGGCGUCGACGGGUAGCCGGCCUGAGAGGGUGACCGGCCACACUGGGACUGAGACACGGCCCAGACUCCUACGGGAGGCAGCAGUGGGGAAUAUUGCACAAUGGGCGCAAGCCUGAUGCAGCAACGCCGCGUGAGGGACGACGGCCUUCGGGUUGUAAACCUCUUUUAGCAGGGAAGAAGCGAAAGUGACGGUACCUGCAGAAAAAGCACCGGCUAACUACGUGCCAGCAGCCGCGGUAAUACGUAGGGUGCAAGCGUUAUCCGGAAUUAUUGGGCGUAAAGAGCUCGUAGGCGGUUUGUCGCGUCUGCUGUGAAAACCCGAGGCUCAACCUCGGGCCUGCAGUGGGUACGGGCAGACUAGAGUGCGGUAGGGGAGAUUGGAAUUCCUGGUGUAGCGGUGGAAUGCGCAGAUAUCAGGAGGAACACCGAUGGCGAAGGCAGAUCUCUGGGCCGUAACUGACGCUGAG
rnacentral:rRNA from 1 species